UGUGUAGGCGGUUCUUUAAGUUUGGUGUGAAAUCUCCCGGCUCAACUGGGAGGGAGCGCCGUUAAUACUGAGGGACUAGAGUACGGGAGAGGAAAGUGGAAUUCCUGGUGUAGCGGUGAAAUGCGUAGAUAUCAGGAGGAACACCGGUGGUGUAGACGGCUUUCUGGACCGACACUGACGCUGAGACACGAAAGCGUGGGUAGCAAACAGGAUUAGAUACCCUGGUAGUCCACGCCCUAAACGAUGCAUAUUUGGUGUGGGCAGUUCAUUCUGUCCGUGCCGGAGCUAACGCGUUAAAUAUGCCGCCUGGGGAGUACAGUCGCAAGGCUGAA
rnacentral:rRNA from 1 species